GACGAACGCUGGCGGCGUGCUUAACACAUGCAAGUCGAACGGUGAAGCGCCUUCCUUUUUGGUGGGUGUGGAUGAGUGGCGAACGGGUGAGUAACACGUGAGUAACCUGCCCCCUUCUUCUGGAUAACCGCAUGAAAGUGUGGCUAAUACGGGAUAUUCUGGGUCUGUCGCAUGAUGGGUCUGGGAAAGAUAUUGUUUCGGUGGGGGAUGGGCUCGCGGCCUAUCAGCUUGUUGGUGGGGGGAUGGCCUACCAAGGCGGUGACGGGUAGCCGGCCUGAGAGGGUGGACGGUCACACUGGGACGGAGACACGGCCCAGACUCCGACGGGAGGCAGCAGGGGGGAAUAUUGCACAAUGGGCGCAAGCCUGAUGCAGCGACGCCGCGUGAGGGAUGGAGGCCUUCGGGUUGUGAACCUCUUUCGCCAGUGAAGCAGGCCUGCCUAGUUUGUGGGUGGGUUGACGGUAGCUGGAUAAGAAGCGCCGGCUAACUACGUG
rnacentral:rRNA from 1 species